UCUGGAGCUGCUUGGCGUAACUCUCCACUGGAUCCUCAGAUUUGCCGUCCGUGAUGAUCACCAGCACUCUGGGAAAACCCUUCCUGGCACCGGCCGCCUCGGUGAAAGUGUUCUUCAGGAGGCGCCGGCCACCGCUGAGAUGAAGUUGCGGACGUGUUUGAAGUUGGGCCUGCCGACGCUCCAGGAGCCGUCCACCAAGAACACCACGUCGGCGAUGGCACUGAAAGAGCAUUCUGGGAAAAAAAGAGUGAGGGAGUUCCGGGGAAUCUCCCGAGCUCGGAGGGUUUCUCAGAUCAUCAGCGUUUGCUGCGGUGCCAAGCAGGCGUCCCCACCAAACUGCUGCCAUGACGUGAUUGAAGACCUCAAUGAAACUUUAACUUUUACUGGACUUUUCUGUCUUUUAACCUGCUGCAACUGCUCUUUUCGUAUCUUAUCUUAUCUUAUCUUAUCCGUAAAUUGAACUCAUUGUCUCUUUGUACCUCUUUCGCCAACUAAAUCAGUGGUUCCCAAACUUUUUGGCUUGUGAUACUUUCAAAUGAAG